UCAGAAUAAAAGAGCUGAGGAACAGAGCACCUCCAUUCAUUCAUCUCAGGAGCUGUCCAGGGAUCUUGCGUUACCUGUCAUCUCGCUCCAGAGCAGCACUCACCAGCUGAGAUGUCCUGCCAGCAGAACCAGCAGCAAUGCCAGCCCCCUCCCAAGUGCCCUCCCAAGUGCCAGACCCCAAAGUGCCCUCCAAAAUGCCCUCCUAAGUGCCCUCCCAAGUGCCCCCCUGUGUCUUCCUGCUGUAGCCUGGGUUCUGGGGGCUGCUGUGGCUCCAGCUCUGGGGGCUGCUGUGGCUCCAGCUCUGGGGGCUGCUGCAGCUCUGGGGGUGGUGGCUGCUGCCUGAGCCACCACAGGCCCCGCAGGUCUCUGCGUCGCCAUCGUCACAGCUCUGGAUGCUGUAGCAGUGGGGGCAGCAGUGGCUGCUGUGGCAGCAGUGGGGGAAGCAGUGGCUGCUGUGGUAGCAGUGGGGGCAGCAGCUGUGGUGGCAGCAGCUGUGGUGGCAGCAGUGGGGGCAGCAGUUGUGGUGGCAGUAGCCAGCAGUCUGGGGGCUGCUGCUGAUUUUUAGCAUGACGACCUUACACUAGCCGUGGUGAAGAAACUCGUGUUGAAGACUGGCUGUUUUCUCUUCCUACUGUCCUAAGUCAUGUUAUGCUGAAAUAAUGUGAAAAGUUCUAUAUCCCGACUCUGCUGGCGGCCGGGUCACUCAUUUUCUGAAUUACAAAAUAAUAAAGUCUUCCCUGCCGAUCUUC